rnacentral:rRNA from 1 species
GUGGCGGACGGGUGAGUAACACGUGAGUAACCUGCCUUAGACAUUGGGAUAGCCUCGGGAAACCGGGAUUAAUACCAAAUAAAAUCAUAAUGACACAUGUCAUAACGAUCAAAACUCCGGUGGUCUAAGAUGGACUCGCGUCCCAUUAGCUAGUUGGUAGAGUAAAAGCCUACCAAGGCGACGAUGGGUAGCCGGCCUGAGAGGGUGAACGGCCACAUUGGAACUGAGAAACGGUCCAA